rnacentral:rRNA from 1 species
CAGUAGCCGCGGGAACACGAAGGGGGCUAGCGUUGUUCGGAAUUACUGGGCGUAAAGCGCACGUAGGCGGAUAUUUAAGUCAGGGGUGAAAUCCCAGAGCUCAACUCUGGAACUGCCUUUGAUACUGGGUAUCUUGAGUAUGGAAGAGGUGAGUGGAAUUCCGAGUGUAGAGGUGAAAUUCGUAGAUAUUCGGAGGAACACCAGUGGCGAAGGCGGCUCACUGGUCCAUUACUGACGCUGAGGUGCGAAAGCGUGGGGAGCAAACAGGAUUAGAUACCCGCGUAGUCCCUGUCUCUUAUAC